rnacentral:rRNA from 1 species
UACGAAGGGGGCUAGCGCUGCUCGGAAUCACUGGGCGUAAAGGGUGCGUAGGCGGGUCUUUAAGUCAGGGGUGAAAUCCUGGAGCUCAACUCCAGAACUGCCUUUGAUACUGAGGAUCUUGAGUUCGGGAGAGGUGAGUGGAACUGCGAGUGUAGAGGUGAAAUUCGUAGAUAUUCGCAAGAACACCAGUGGCGAAGGCGGCUCACUGGCCCGAUACUGACGCUGAGGCACGAAAGCGUGGGGAGCAAACAGGG